rnacentral:lncRNA from 1 species
UUGCUAUAUUAAAAUUUGUUCAAUGCUUUGGUAACAAAUUAUAUUAUUGCCAAAUCAAAAUUUGACAUUAUUUUUGUAUACCUGAUUGGCUCAAUGUCCCCAUAGCAAAUAAUGACAAGAAUACAAAAAAUUAAAAUAUUAUUAACUUAAUAAAAUCAUCCACUACAUAAUCAUUCAUUAUCUUUAAAAUUAACCAUCUAAAGCUAUCACAGUUCUUCAAUUAAAGUAUAUAUCUAUAUAUAUAGAGAGUAAACUUCAUAAUUUCGUCCCUUGUCUUCCGUAAACGUAGCACGAAAAUUUGAUACCCAGUAUUGUAAAGCAAGUCGUAGAAGCAAUCUUACUGUACAUAUUUAAAAAUAAUAACAAGUCAAAAAAUAAAGUAAAUAGGUCACAAGAGACACUUAGUGCCAAAAUCAAUACACAAAGACAACAAUGUUGUGUUAUUUUCUUACUAAUCAAGGGACAUGGAAGAAGGUAAUAACCUUUUAAUUGACUACCAAAUUGUUCUGUUCUUGUAUUAUAUGUUAGCAUGCAGCCCAUAAACAGUAAGCAUGAACCAUUGACCUCACUAGCUUCAUCAGCUAUUGUGAUGAAUGGGUACUAGAAUACUUUUUGCCACUCAUCAGGCAUUUUCUGAGUUAUUAGAAACAGAGUUAUUAGAAACCUAUCUUCGCAAGGAAAAAAGUUACAAGCAUAAAAAAGCACAAAACCUUCACUAAAUUCGUCUCCCCAAAAAAACCUUCUCAGGUCUCAAAAAGUGUCAAAUUGUUCCCAAACCUGAAGUCCACUAGCUACAAGCUGCAAAAAAUUGCAUGAUGAAAGUAGAAAGAUUAGACAGAUGUCAGUUUUAAAUAUAAAAUUCAAAUUACAUGAAAGCUCAGGUUUUAAUUCUAUCACCAACCAUGAUUUAACAACCAUAAAAUUAAAUAGUACAUCAAAAGGCUAGUGCAGACAUGUGUUUCAGGGUGACAUGCACAAUGUUGUAAAUGAGGCUAAAGUGUUAAGCAGUGAAAUAAGAAGACAACCGAGUAAAUUUAAUAGAUAGAAAACGAAAAUUUUGAGACAUCAAAAGUUCCAGCAUUACAUUAUUCAAUCAACAAAUGUGCAGGAACUGACAUGAAUGGAUGUAACAGACAUUGGGACAACUCCUCUUUAAAAUUCUUGAACGUCGCCAUUUAAUAGUUUCUAUAUUGCCAUAUGUUUAAGAAAAAAGGGAUACAAAGACUAUUUUUGUUAUACAAUAUAAUAAUUAUGCCAUCACAUUUGACUAUAGAUUGGGAAACCAACAGAUCUUAUGAGUUAUAACGCUUUGAAAAGCCAGAUUACUCUAAAAGCUUAUAGUCUGUGAAGCAAUGUUACUUAUUAACUUAUCUUAUGAGUUGUUACUCUAGUUGGUUUAUAAUGCGAUACAGUGGGGUAGGCUUCUAUGAAUUGCUCGGACAGAACACAAAACAAUUAUUGGACAGUAGAAAACUAUCUAAAUAGGUACGCAUAUAAUAUGUAAUAUUUAGAUAUGUGUUUGUGUGUGUAAGUUCAGCACAUAUGAAGCAUGCUAUUAGUCAUAAAAAUAUUAUAAGCUGCUUAUCACAAUAAAUGCCUUAGGUAGUAGUAGUUCACACCCCUAAGCAACCAAGUGUUUUCACUCUACCUGGUAGAAAGAAAUUGCUAUACAGCCAUGUUUAAAAGGCUUAGCGCUACUAAAUGGCUUUUUUUAAGUCGUGCGGGUGGAGACAUUUCUUUGUCCCCUUCAAAAGGAAAUGCAAUCUAAAAAUAGAAGACGAGACUAUGAAACAGUAAGUUCGAUUCUAAUCAUUUUUUCCUUACUAACUCAACAUUUAACAUUCUUAUUUGGUAAUUUUCUUGCUUAAGAGCCUAAUUACAUAAACCUGUUGCCCGCCCAAAUUCUGAUUGACUAUUGUACCCCAAUUCAUUUUAUUUAAAAUUUUUAGUAACUAAAAUCAACUAUCAAGCAGCCAUAAGUACCAAAAUAAAGCUAAUUUCAAUCCCCUUUCCUUUCUUAACAAAACCUAUAGAUGCUCUUCCACCUUGUUGAACCAGUAAACAGUAACCUCCACACACCAAAUACCAAAUGUAGCCUACACUAUCUUAAGUUUUCUGAAGCUGCCAACCACAAAAAUACCCAUGGAUAACAUGCAAAGUGUUAAAUGUUACAUAACAUUAGAUUAAGUGGACUAUGAUACAGAACAAAAUACGUUCAAAAUUUCUAGCCAGUAGAAUCGUUGACUAAAGAAUUUUUAGGCUACAUCAGAGCCUUUUUGACAUUAUUAAAUAUGAUUAGAUCAGUAGAUCAUCAUAAAGACGUCCAAGAAAAGCCUUGGAUGCAACAUCAGAAAAUUGAUGCUACCAGUGUGCAUAUAUUGUUUCCAAAAGUUAAAUGUUGCACUUCAUUAUCUAAACAUGCCUACACCAUAGAUAACUUUUCUCUCCAGUUUAUAUUUUAUGCGUUAACUUUUAAGUUUAAACCAUAAGGCUCACUUUCUACUCCAAAACUCAAUUUUCCAUCUUAUUUAGACCCACCACAGUUACCUCCUACUCUUACUAAUUCAUGAAGAAUGGGAAAUAAGAAAGGAAUAAUGCUUUUGGCCUGUGUCUCGCGUUCUUCAUUCCACCCAAUAACCAUAAAAUAAACCACAGUUAAAAGCUAAGCAAAAUCUCGAUUCAAUAGUUUAUUUGAAAAUUUAUAUGGUAUAUUACACUCGACCUUUUUUAAAAUUCCAAAUUGAUUUGUGAUAGCACAAAGGCUGUAAGCAAAGGAAAAAAUAAUGGCUCAAUGCAUUGUACUGGUUACAGAAUCAAUUUUAAUGCAAUUGAAAAACUUACCGCUGCAUUUUUCUUGGUUCGAUCUAGAGGACUCCCCAACCUCUUUCAAUUGUCUUUGGCUCUUGUCAACUACUGUAUUCUCCAGAUCAACUUUCUCAGUCUAUACAAUACAACAUAAAUUAACAGCUAUAAUAUAGCAAAAUAAUACAUUACAACUACAAUACAUGCACAUAUAAUGAUUAUCAAAGGUUUACAAGUGUAAUUCAAAUGCUAAGGACUUGACUUCUAUAUAGAACAAAUACAGUUAUUAUCGGUGUCACUUAGACUAGGAAUUUCACUCUUAGUUGCUGUGCCAUUUUCAUUUCCAAUGUUGCUAACCACAAACAGCCCAAUUGCUCAAAUCACCUGCAAUUGUUACCAUGAAAAUUCAAUUAUUGUUAUGUUGCCAACACUGAAGCCCUACUGACCUUCCCUCCAAGAUCACCACCACCAAUGCCUUAACUGUAUCUACCAAAGACGCCUCUACCACAACCUUACUAUCACAACCAAUGCUUGCAACAUUGAUGCAUUUUACCAACCUCACCAUCAUUGCUUUUGUUGUUGCCACUAAAACGCCAUUUUUGUUAUAUAUCUCGCAAAUAAUUGAUAUAUGAAUAGGUUGUUCAUCAGUUUUACUAUCAAAAAGACACUUUUAUAUUCUACUAGCACAAUUUGAAAAAACCGUAUGUCAAAACAAUAGGAGAAAAAACAAUUAAAUACAAAAUACUAAAUUUGUAGUCUGUCCUCUUAGUCUUAUAUAUUGGUUCAUUCUCUAUUUUUAAUCUUUAAGAUAUUAAACCUUUACAUUAACUUCAAUAGUUUUAAUAUUGACAAAAGUCAAAAAACUACGAUUGCACUGAAGGGUCGGUUUAGAAUGAAGAUAACAGGCAUACUUGAUAGACCCAAGGUAAAUUCAGUUAAUUGACCCAAUUCACCAAAUAAAAUUAAGAUAACCAGAAAAGAGGAAAAACAAAGAUAUAUAUUUAUAUAGGUGAAUGAACAUAAGCCAGUUGGAUAGGAAGCCAUAACCUUCGAAAUCUCAGGUCUCCUGGCCCACCAAAAAAAAUAGCCAAAAAAAUCCUGUCACUUCAAGACAACAUAUAGGAGUUGUGUUCUCUGCUGAGUUUAUAAUGUUGUAUCUUAUAGUAAAGAUCUUUAAAAACAACGCAAUUUCCUUUUUAAAUAGAACUCGGGAUACGUAGCCAACCAUCAGACUAUUAAAAUCAAAUACUUUAGGUAGAAAAGGUUCCAAAAGAAAUGCAAACUCACAGUACAUAUAAACUUUGGCAAAGAAAGUAAUCUUUAUUUUUAGUAAAACAUUGAGUCGAACUAGUAUAAUAGACUAUAUUUUAGUACAGUUAAAUCCAUGAUUAAAAUAAAAAAAAAUUCUGACUAUUAUUUUUCUUGCAAACCUGCAAUACUCUUGAACAUAUCAAUAAUCACAACACUGUUAUGUGGCGCCGUCUCACGAACACAUAUAUACUUCUCCGAUUUCAUUGUAACAUUCCUAAACAUGAUAAAUUGUGGGUUGAUCCCUAUGCUUGGCAACUGUAACAACAUCACAAUUUUUAUUUAAAACACUGUACAAACACUAAGACAAAAAAAUUGCCCACCCAGAACACAUAAUUUAGAUGCCAUAUUCAUAAACUCGACUUUUGUAACUCCACAGAUAAACUACAUCUAUAUUACAGAUCUAAAUGUAAUUACACAUAACAGAUCUGUAAGUUCUUUUAGGGCAGAUAUUAACCAAUAGAAACACUUGUACUACAAUAAAUCGUACAAAUCAAAAGGUGAAAGAAAACAACAACAAAGAUUUGAAUUUCAGAUGAUUUCAAACUGUUUUCUAUCAGUUCAUUCAAAUAAUCAUGCAAAUUCAGCUAAAAUUAAAAAAAAAAGGAGUAUAACUCGGAAAGAAAUGCGAAAAGUAAUUUACCGUUAGGGUCUCCUUCAUGGUGAUCGGAGCGUUAGCGGUCGCCAUGGUGGCGAGAUAAAAAAGUUGAGAUCAGGAGUCCGAUCUGCGAGUGAGAUGUGAUGACGAAUCACCAAUUGAGAUUUCACUCCAGUGGCUACGAGAUCUGACAAACCCUCGCACCUUAUUGGAGAGAGAGUGAGAGAUCUAGAGAGAGACUAUGAUGGUGGGUAUUCUAAUAUGAGGAUUAGGUAUUCAAUUAUG